rnacentral:lncRNA from 1 species
UAAGGUUAUUUAUUUCAGAAACAGUAAUCUUUCCCACAUCCUCACUAACAAACUUUUGAAAAGCAGAAAAAGUCAUGCCAGUAUUAUUGGGUAAGAUAAAGGAAGACUGAGGAGGGUAGAGUGCUUGAGUAAUCGAUCCAUCAGAAUUUUGAUAAGAUCUUUCGAUUAUUUUGACAUAGGACGGUAAAUAUGCAGACAUGAACCAUGGGACAAAGAAAAUAAUUUUAUUAUGUAAAGCACAAAUUUCAUAGAAUUCUUCUGAAAUAUUUUUUAAUUCAUCAGAAGUAUAGGUUUCAAAAA